rnacentral:rRNA from 1 species
AUUGAACGCUGGCGGCAGGCCUAACACAUGCAAGUCGAGCGGAUGAAGGGAGCUUGCUCCUGGAUUCAGCGGCGGACGGGUGAGUAAUGCCUAGGAAUCUGCCUGGUAGUGGGGGAUAACGUCCGGAAACGGGCGCUAAUACCGCAUACGUCCUGAGGGAGAAAGUGGGGGAUCUUCGGACCUCACGCUAUCAGAUGAGCCUAGGUCGGAUUAGCUAGUUGGUGGGGUAAAGGCCUACCAAGGCGACGAUCCGUAACUGGUCUGAGAGGAUGAUCAGUCACACUGGAACUGAGACACGGUCCAGACUCCUACGGGAGGCAGCAGUGGGGAAUAUUGGACAAUGGGCGAAAGCCUGAUCCAGCCAUGCCGCGUGUGUGAAGAAGGUCUUCGGAUUGUAAAGCACUUUAAGUUGGGAGGAAGGGCAGUAAGUUAAUACCUUGCUGUUUUGACGUUCCAACAGAAUAAGCACCGGCUAGCUUCGUG